rnacentral:rRNA from 1 species
GAUGAACGCUGGCGGCGUGCCUAAUACAUGCAAGUCGAGCGAACAGAUAAGGAGCUUGCUCCUUUGACGUUAGCGGCGGACGGGUGAGUAACACGUGGGUAACCUACCUAUAAGACUGGGAUAACUUCGGGAAACCGGAGCUAAUACCGGAUAACAUUUGGAACCGCAUGGUUCUAAAGUGAAAGAUGGUUUUGCUAUCACUUAUAGAUGGACCCGCGCCGUAUUAGCUAGUUGGUAAGGUAACGGCUUACCAAGGCAACGAUACGUAGCCGACCUGAGAGGGUGAUCGGCCACACUGGAACUGAGACACGGUCCAGACUCCUACGGGGGGCAGCAGUAGGGAAUCUUCCGCAAUGGGCGAAAGCCUGACGGAGCAACGCCGCGUGAGUGAUGAAGGGUUUCGGCUCGUAAAACUCUGUUAUUAGGGAAGAACAAACGUGUAAGUAACUGUGCACGUCUUGACGGUACCUAAUCAGAAAGCCACGGCUAACUACGUG